rnacentral:snRNA from 1 species
CUACUUUCAAAGUAUAUAUACUAAAAUUGGAACGAUGCAGAGAUGGUUAGCAUGGCCCUGCGCAAGGGUGACACGCAGAACAGAAUCGUUAAGCGUUCCACAUUUUU